ACAUCACUAAAGGGGUGCCUUGUUUUUUUAAAACACAAAUCAGGGCUGAGAUUAUACCCAUCAGAAAAAGGAAGCGACAAGCUGUACUUUUCUGAACACCUGAUCCGGAUAAUGCCGGCGUAGGGAGGGAAGAAUUACCAAAUGA
rnacentral:ncRNA from 1 species